rnacentral:rRNA from 1 species
CCUACGGGUGACAGCAGUGAGGAAUAUUGGUCAAUGGGCUUACGCCUGAACCAGCCAAGUCGCGUGAGGGAAGACUGCCCUAUGGGUUGUAAACCUCUUUUGUCAGGGAGCAACGCCGGCUACGUGUAGCCGGACUGAGAGUACCUGAAGAAAAAGCAUCGGCAAACUCCGUGCCAGCAGCCGCGGUAAUACGGAGGAUGCGAGCGUUAUCCGGAUUUAUGGGGUUUAAAGGGUGCGUAGGCGGAAUGCCAAGUCAGCGGUAAAAUCGCGGGGCUCAAUCUCGCGCCGCCGUUGAAACUGGCGUUCUUGAGUGGGCGAGAGGUAUGCGGAAUGCGUGGUGUAGCGGUGAAAUGCAUAGAUAUCACGCAGAACUCCGAUUGCGAAGGCAGCAUACCGGCGCCCAACUGACGCUGAAGCACGAAAGCGUGGGUAUCGAACAGGAUUAGAUACCCUAGUAGUC